AUCGUGGGGACAAGUGGGUGUUUGGGAAGCAAACACGCCCUCUCUGGCAUCCGCGUACUCUCGCCCUCGCGUUGACCUCCCCGCCUCCGUGGCUAGCGCGCAGGCGCUGUACAUUUUUUUUUUUUUCUUUUUUUUCCUCCUCUGAAACUGUUUACCUGAAUCGAGCAAUGUUUAUAAAUCAGCUCGGUCACCAACCAGCGUCUAGCAGUAAAGUUGGUAAAAUUCCUGCUACUGAACGGAUGGAGAACUACAAGAUUAGCAACUUGAGGCCAGAGAAGAUAAGUGAUCCUCUCACCCAGGGACUGGAACCCAUGUCAUCCUGAAUCCAAGGGUUGUCUUCUGGGUGCUCCACAGAGCUCAGUUACGCUAGUCUAGAGUAUCCAGUGGCCCAAAAGAGAGAGUAAAGUGUCAGAAUCUUCACAACAGUCUACAGGAAGACGACACAACCUGGUCCCUGUUCCUUUCUGAUUUUACCUCCUGCCACUCUUCCCCUCUCUCACUCCACUCUACACAUAGAAGCUUCCUGGCUGUGCCUCUAACCUGCAGACCCAUUCCUGCCUAGGGGUCUUUGCAAAGGCUGUUUACUCUAGCUGGAAAGCUCUCUCUCUAUAUAUCCAUGUGACUCACUCCUUCUCUUCCUUCAGGUCUCAACUCCCAAUGUCACCUCAGCAAAACCUUCCCCAACCACACUAUUAAAACUGCAUCACACCCUGUUCUACACUCUCUAUCCCCCAUCCCUAAUUUAUUUUUCUCCUUGCCACAUAACAUACUGCAUCGUGGAUAAGAAUCCACCUGUCAAUACAGGGGCCAGAGGUUCAAUCCCUGGUCAAGGAAGAUUCCACAUGCUGUGAAGCAACUAAGCCCAUGCACCACAACUGCUGAGGCUGUGUGCUGCAAC